rnacentral:rRNA from 1 species
AGCGAACGCUGGCGGCAGGCUUAACACAUGCAAGUCGAGCGGGCACUUUCGGGUGUCAGCGGCGGACGGGUGAGUAACGCGUGGGAACGUGCCCUCUGGUUCGGAAUAACUCAGGGAAACUUGAGCUAAUACCGGAUACGCCCUUUUGGGGAAAGGCUUGCUGCCGGAGGAUCGGCCCGCGUCUGAUUAGCUAGUUGGUGAGGUAACGGCUCACCAAGGCGACGAUCAGUAGCUGGUCUGAGAGGAUGAUCAGCCACACUGGGACUGAGACACGGCCCAGACUCCUACGGGAGGCAGCAGUGGUGAAUAUUGGACAAUGGGCGCAAGCCUGAUCCAGCCAUGCCGCGUGAGUGAUGAAGGCCUUAGGGUUGUAAAGCUCUUUUAUCCGGGACGAUAAUGACGGUACCGGAGGAAUAAGCCCCGGCUAACUUCGUG